rnacentral:rRNA from 1 species
UACGGGGGGGGCAAGCGUUGUUCGGAAUUACUGGGCGUAAAGGGCUCGUAGGUGGCCAACUCAGUCGGACGUGAAAUCCCUCGGCUUAACCGGGGAACUGCGUCCGAUACUGGAUGGCUUGAGAUCGGAAGAGGCGAGUGGAAUUCCUGGUGUAGCGGUGGAAUGCGCAGAUAUCAGGAGGAACACCAAUAGCGAAGGCAGCUCGCUGGGACGGUACUGACGCUGAGGCGCGAAAGCGUGGGGAGCGAACAGG